rnacentral:rRNA from 1 species
AUACGGAGGGUGCGAGCGUUAAUCGGAAUUACUGGGCGUAAAGCGCGCGUAGGCGGCUUGUUAAGUCAGAUGUGAAAGCCCUGGGCUUAACCUGGGAACUGCAUUUGAUACUGGCAGGCUAGAGUAUGGUAGAGGGAAGUGGAAUUCCGGGUGUAGCGGUGAAAUGCGUAGAGAUCCGGAGGAACACCAGUGGCGAAGGCGACUUCCUGGACCAAUACUGACGCUGAGGUGCGAAAGCGUGGGGAGCAAACAGGAUUAGAAACCCCAGUAGUCC